AAUAAAAGCGAGCGAGAGUCGGCGAGGGAGAGGGAGGCAGGUUCAAUUAUCUAAACAAAGAAAUCAUGGCGGAGUGUUUACAUUUGGCUGCCCAAAGCCUGUCGGAUUACGGACCCCCCCCAAACACACCCGGCCCCCCCGGCCCCCCGCAGUAGCGGCGUGCCGCAGCCCGCCCGCCGACACCUCGCCGCGGCCCGGAAUUCCUCUGGAAGGUAUGACCUGCUCUUUGAAAGUGGUGGAAAAUACUUAUUUUUAAUCACCUUCAUCUCAAGAGCUGUAAUUGAGGUUAUGAAGUUGUAGUGGAUUAACAGGGCAUUAUUCAAGCUGCAAUAAAGAUUUUCAUAAUAUUAUAAUAAUGCACCACUACUGAACCUCGUAUGAAAGGAAAGCAUGGUAUUCUCUCGCCUCGCAAAUCUCCUUUAUUCUGUCCCCUCUGGUUGCAAAAGCAGAAAACCCAGGGACAUGACCUGGCCCCUUGCUGGCCACUGCCACCUCUGCCAGCCCUGUGGCUGUGAGGACAAGCAAGAUGUGGAUGGCCCGUGGCUCCCAAGGACCCCGGGGUGCUCCCUCCUGGGUGCAUUGUGGCUCUGGGACUUGUCGGGACCCCAUCUCUUGCACCUCCAUCCUUUUCCUGCCUCCAGCCCUCCCUGUCCUGAUUGGAGCUGCUGCUGGCUCGCGCUCACACAUAUGGCGGUGGAAACGAAUACACAUCGCGUGUUUGAUCAAAAUGGACUGAAACAGAUGGAAGUCUUGGGAUCGCACUGUGUUUUCUCUUUUUGUGCUUGAUAAAGGGAUAGUCAGUAAAAUGCUAGCAAAGUAUUAGUUCUGGGGGAAAAGACUUGCCAUUCUUCUUGCAUUUUCGUUGUUUUCUUUAUGUAGUAAAAAGAAUUCAAUACAACCCUUAACAUGCUGAUUCUGGGAAGGCUCGUACAAAGCAGGUCUGAUACAGCACUGGAACAGUGCUGUUUUGCCUGAGCUGCAAUUAUUUUCAUUUAUGAAAUUCCAAAUUCUAAAUUCUGUUUUAAAUAUUGAAUAUUUCUGGUGAAAUGACAGCUUGUGCUAGCUUUAGGAUAUGCCUGCUUGGUAAUUAUUCAUGAGGAGAACAGCUGAAAACAAACUAGUUAUACACCUUGGCAAGUCACUGUGAUUUUAAUUCUGUGAAAUUUCCCUAUGGCCAUGUGACUUUAUUUAAAGUACUCUAACAGUGCAGAUGUCCAGAAUGCCAGAGUUGUUACAAAUGUUAUUCCUGUAAGUUCAUCCCUGCUUCGAGAAAAGAAAAAGAAGAAGAGAAAAGGGGGGGUGGGGGAGGCUGGGGGGUGGAAAGAAAAAAGACUGAUGAUACCAUGUGUGUUUUGAGUGUUUGUCACAUACUUGAUUAUGUGCUGCUAUCGUACAUUACUGGAACACAGAUAUAUCAUAAGUAAUAUAUCUCAAUGCAUGUUCAGGGCAUAUAAUGGAAUUUGCAGUACCUGGAAGAAUGCGUUGCCGAAAUACACUAAAUAUUUUAAAAUAUCUUGUAUAAGCUAUGAUACAAUAGGCAGCACUGACAUCUUUGGAAGUUUAAAAGUCUGAUAAUUUCGAUGUAAUACUGGAUGAAGAAUUGAAAUACUUGUGCUAAAAAUAAAACAUUUCUCUGC
rnacentral:lncRNA from 7 species